UUUAUGGAGAGUUUGAUCCUGGCUCAGGAUGAACGCUGGCGGCGUGCCUAAUACAUGCAAGUCGAGCGAACAGAUAAGGAGCUUGCUCCUUUGACGUUAGCGGCGGACGGGUGAGUAACACGUGGGUAACCUACCUAUAAGACUGGAAUAACUCCGGGAAACCGGGGCUAAUGCCGGAUAACAUGUUGAACCGCAUGGUUCUACAGUGAAAGACGGUCUUGCUGUCACUUAUAGAUGGACCCGCGCCGUAUUAGCUAGUUGGUGGGGUAACGGCCUACCAAGGCGACGAUACGUAGCCGACCUGAGAGGGUGAUCGGCCACACUGGAACUGAGACACGGUCCAGACUCCUACGGGAGGCAGCAGUAGGGAAUCUUCCGCAAUGGGCGAAAGCCUGACGGAGCAACGCCGCGUGAGUGAUGAAGGUCUUCGGAUCGUAAAGCUCUGUUGUUAGGGAAGAACAAAUGUGUAAGUAACUGUGCACAUCUUGACGGUACCUAACCAGAAAGCCACGGCUAACUACGUGCCAGCAGCCGCGGUAAUACGUAGGUGGCAAGCGUUAUCCGGAAUUAUUGGGCGUAAAGCGCGCGCGUAGGCGGUUUUUUAAGUCUGAUGUGAAAGCCCACGGCUCAACCGUGGAGGGUCAUUGGAAACUGGAAAACUUGAGUGCAGAAGAGGAAAGUGGAAUUCCAUGUGUAGCGGUGAAAUGCGCAGAGAUAUGGAGGAACACCAGUGGCGAAGGCGGCUUUCUGGUCUGCAACUGACGCUGAUGUGCGAAAGCGUGGGGAUCAAACAGGAUUAGAUACCCUGGUAGUCCACGCCGUAAACGAUGAGUGCUAAGUGUUAGGGGGUUUCCGCCCCUUAGUGCUGCAGCUAACGCAUUAAGCACUCCGCCUGGGGAGUACGGUCGCAAGACUGAAACUCAAAGGAAUUGACGGGGACCCGCACAAGCGGUGGAGCAUGUGGUUUAAUUCCGAAGCUAACGCCAAGAACCCUUACCAAAUCUUGACAUCCUUUGACCGCUCUAGAGAUAGAGUUUUCCUCUUCUCGGAGGACAAAGUGACAGGUGGUGCAUGGUUGUCGUCAG
rnacentral:rRNA from 1 species